GUCGUAACAAGGUCUCCGUAGGUGAACCUGCGGAGGGAUCAUUACACAAAUAUGAAGGCGGGCUGGAACCUCUCGGGGUUACAGCCUUGCUGAAUUAUUCACCCUUGUCUUUUGCGUACUUCUUGUUUCCUUGGUGGGUUCGCCCACCACUAGGACAAACAUAAACCUUUUGUAAUUGCAAUCAGCGUCAGUAACAAAUUAAUAAUUACAACUUCCAACAACGGAUCUCUUGGUUCUGGCAUCGAUGAAGAACGCAGCGAAAUGCGAUAAGUAGUGUGAAUUGCAGAAUUCAGUGGAUCAUCGAAUCUUUGAACGCACAUUGCGCCCUUUGGUAUUCCAAAGGGCAUGCCUGUUCGAGCGUCAUUUGUACCCUCAAGCUUUGCUUGGUGUUGGGCGUCUUGUCUCUAGCUUUGCUGGAGACUCGCCUUAAAGUAAUUGGCAGCCGGCCUACUGGUUUCGGAGCGCAGCACAAGUCGCACUCUCUAUCAGCAAAGGUCUAGCAUCCAUUAAGCCUUUUUUUCAACUUUUGACCUCGGAUCAGGUAGGGAUACCCGCUGAACUUAAGCAUAUCA
rnacentral:rRNA from 1 species